rnacentral:misc_RNA from 1 species
AAACUGCGAAAAGUAAUGUGAACUGCAUACUUUGUGAAUCAUCGAAUCUUCGAAUGCACAUUGCGCCACGUGGCCUGGCCACCUGGCAUGCCUGUUUGAGUAUCACGCACACAUGUUUCCUUUCUCUUGCAAGAGAGAAUAGGCAGCGAGCUGAGAUCCAGAUGCCCAGCAUUUGCUUCUUCAAAGACAUGGCGUGGGGAGGCUUAUUAAGUUUGAGCCGCACUGAGAGUCCCGUUGCUUUUUUGGAUAAUUUCGAUUUCGAUCGUUCAAAAAGCUGCGGGGCAUGCAAGGAGCCACGCCGACAACGCGACAACCACAUCUGUGGUCGUCACAGCAACUGUGCAAUGGAUCGAAUCCAUUACACAGUCUGCGCAAUGAUCUCAAAUCAAGCAAGACUACC